CGGGGUGGAAAGUGACGGUAAGUGUAUGAAAAAUAAGGAUUGAUGUAUAAUGAUUAGGCCUGUUUUUGGGAUGGUUUUGUCGUUCGGGACGUAGGAGUCGGAGGUUCGAAUCCUCUCGCCCCGACCA
rnacentral:tRNA from 1 species